UAUAUAUCAACCAGAAAAAGCAAAUAUAUCAAACGUUGGCUACAUCUCAAUGCAAUGUGGAUAUUAGCAUUGGGUUUCUCGCUCAUACCAGUAACUCUCUUCCUCCCCCCGUGCAGGCUAUUGACCCGUUUGGUUGCCAAGCUUCAGCAGCUCUGCGAAGCGGUGACUGGUAUAAGAUCUGCAUUUCCAGGAGCAUGGUCUAUUCUAGCAAGCCUUCAGUCCAUAACUUUCAGAGUGCACAGUACAGAAAUCUUGGGAAAUGUCCGUCAAGCUAUGUACAUGGCCUAGUUUGGGCAAAGAGAAUAUUUGGUGGAGGCAUACUUGUAAUGGAUUCUCCUCUCUUUUUUCCUUUCUGAAUGAUGAUUUUUUGUUACCAUGCUUAGCAGAUCUUCACCAUUUCUCAAAGCAGAAAGUGAAGUUCAUGGAGUGAAGUGGUCAACUUCCAUUGAGGGGAAACCUGACUGCGCUAUUCUCAAUCCUCUUAGGAUAUUCUUUGCUGUCUCUCUCUCCUGCAGCAAUGGGAAUGAUGAUUGCUUGACGAAGGAAGAGUAAUAAAAUUAUUCCAAAUUCUUUUCUGUAGAAAAGUGUCAUCAUAUUUCUUCUAGAUGAAUGUUUGUAUUCUGGGCCAGACUGGUGUGCCUUUUCCAUGAUAUUAAAUGAUGGUGCCCCAUCCUCUUGUA